UACGUAGGGUGCGAGCGUUGUCCGGAAUUAUUGGGCGUAAAGGGCUCGUAGGCGGUCUGUCACGUCGAAAGUGAAAACUCAGGGCUCAACCCUGAGCCUGCUUCCGAUACGGGCAGACUAGAGGUAUGCAGGGGAAAUCGGAAUUCCUGGUGUAGCGGUGAAAUGCGUAGAGAUGUGGAGGAACACCGAUGGCGAAGGCAGCCUUCUGGGCCAACACUGACGCUCAUGCACGAAAGCGUGGGGAGCAAACAGG
rnacentral:rRNA from 1 species